GUUCUUAUAGUUGAAUACAACAGCAGUUUUUCAGACUGCAAGUCUAGGUUAAAGUCCUUGUAGGAAUU
rnacentral:tRNA from 2 species